UACGUAGGGUGCAAGCGUUGUCCGGAAUUAUUGGGCGUAAAGAGCGUGUAGGCGGCCAAACAGGUCCGUUGUGAAAACUGGAGGCUUAACCUCCAGACGUCGACGGAAACCGUAUGGCUAGAGUCCGGAAGAGGAGAGUGGAAUUCCUGGUGUAGCGGUGAAAUGCGCAGAUAUCAGGAAGAACACCAAUGGCGAAGGCAGCUCUCUGGGACGGUACUGACGCUGAGGAGCGAAAGCAUGGGGAGCGAACAGG
rnacentral:rRNA from 1 species